GACGAACGCUGGCGGCGUGCCUAAUACAUGCAAGUCGAGCGGAUCUUCAUUAGCUUGCUUUUGAAGACCAGCGGCGGACGGGUGAGUAACACGUGGGCAACCUGCCUGUAAGACUGGGAUAACUUCGGGAAACCGGAGCUAAUACCGGAUAAUCCUUUCCCUCACAUGAGGGAAAGCUGAAAGACGGUUUCGGCUGUCACUUACAGAUGGGCCCGCGGCGCAUUAGCUAGUUGGUGAGGUAAUGGCUAACCAAGGCGACGAUGAGUAGCCGACCUGAGAGGGUGAUCGGCCACACUGGGACUGAGACACGGCCCAGACUCCUACGGGAGGCAGCAGUAGGGAAUCUUCCGCAAUGGACGAAAGUCUGACGGAGCAACGCCGCGUGAGCGAUGAAGGCCUUCGGGUCGUAAAGCUCUGUUGUCAGGGAAGAACAAGUAUCGGAGUAACUGCCGGUACCUUGACGGUACCUGACCAGAAAGCCACGGCUAACUACGUGCCAGCAGCCGCAGUAA
rnacentral:rRNA from 1 species